CUGCCCAUUUGACUAAUACUUUUUUGCUUCAUAGAUUCAAGGGGCUUUGCUUAUGGAAUAAAAUACAGUUGCCACGGUCUAAGGGAGAAAGAGUGGCCAUAUCUUUUUUUCCCCCUAUAUGAAAUGGCAAAACAAUCUAGC